AUGAAAACAAUAUACAGUGUUCACCUUGAUUUUGCUGAGCAGACGGCUUCAUUUACGCCAGCAUUCCUUCCCAUUUUUAUUGCUCCCACUUUUGGCUGCAACUAUUCAAGGAUUACUCCUGCAGCUCGACGAGGCAGUAAGCUGGCCUGCAAGCUGAGGCGAGCGGCAGCCCUGGAAGCAAGCGCCGCUGUACCGCCACCCCAUCCUCUCGCGGGCCACGGAUAG
rnacentral:rRNA from 1 species